UAUUCAUUUUCUUAUAAGUUGGAGCUGUAGUGGUCGGAUUUGAUCUAUAUGUCAACUACUUCAAAAUUCAAUACAAAGAUGCUAGGAAGACUUCGUUUAAGUCCUUAACUCCAUUAGAGUGUAUGAUGCAAGCUACCCAAAAACUCGGGAAGAUCAGAAAUGCUCAAGCUUCAAUGAAAUUUUUGAUUUUGCUUACAACUAUCUUAGUGGUACAGUACCAAAGGAAUGGGCUUCAAGCUUGCAGUGAUUUUGCUUACAACUAUCUUGGGAGAUGGAGCAAAUUGUAUUCUUUUUUAUUAUCAUGUAAAGCUCAUGAAACUUGAAAGCCUGUUAAGCUAAUGAAAUAGAUAUAGGCACUUGGGCAAGGUUAAUUCUUGUGUAAAUGUUGGGAUGAAUACUGCUGAUGGAAUGAAAUGGUUUUUGGAAUCAA